rnacentral:rRNA from 1 species
GACGAACGCUGGCGGCGUGCCUAACACAUGCAAGUCGAACGGAAAGGCCCUGCUUUUGUGGGGUGCUCGAGUGGCGAACGGGUGAGUAUCACGUGAGUAUCCUGCCCUUGACUUUGGGAUAACUUCAGGAAACUGGAGCUAAUACCGGAUAGGAGAUCCUGCUGCAUGGUGUGGGUUGGAAAGUUUCGGCGGUUGGGGAUGGACGGGCGGCUUAUCAGCUUGUUGGUGGGGUAGUGGCUUACCAAGGCAUUGACGGGUAGCCGGCCUGGGAGGGUGACCGGGCACAUUGGGACUGAGGUAGGGCCCAGAGUGCUACGUGAGGCAGAAGUGGGAAAUAUUGCACAAUGGGCGGAAGCAGGAUACAGCGACGCCGGGUGCGUGAUGACGGCCUUCGGGGUAUAAACCGCUUGCGCCUGUGACGAAGCGUGAGUGACGGUAAUGAGUAAAGAAGCACCGGCUAACUACGUG